UACGUAGGGGGCAAGUGUUGUCCGGAAUUACUGGGCGUAAAGCGCGUGUAGGCGGGACGGUUAGUCGGACGUGAAAGGCUGGGGCUCAACCCCAGAUCGCCGUUCGAAACUGCCGUUCUUGAGGGUCGAAGAGGAGAGUGGAAUUCCUGGUGUAGCGGUGAAAUGCGUAGAGAUCAGGAGGAACACCCAUGGCGAAGGCAGCUCUCUGGUCGACAUCUGACGCUGAGACGCGAAAGCGUGGGGAGCGAACGGG
rnacentral:rRNA from 1 species